CUUUUCUGCUUAUUGAUUGCAUGUCGGUUUUUGUCUGGGUUACUUUUGCAUUUAUUUUGAAUGCAGGAUCUUAUGGUGGUCAGAUACACCCGGUUAGACAUGGUUAGCACAGUAAGUAUGAAGUUUGAAAUGGAAAUGAUGCUCUUAUUCAUCUAUAUUAAUUUUCCUCCUCGGGGGACUUGAUUGCCUCUUAACUUUGCAUGGAAUUUUGUUGUAGCCUCAGGUGAAUUUCGGUGAGGGAAUGUUCUUGUUGCUAGGGAUUUGGAUAUUACCGUGGUAGCAAAGGGUUCAGGAAUUUUAUUUAUUUAAUUCAUGAUGAAUUACGAAGUUUGUUUUUUAUUGAGGUAUACCAUCAUUUUGCGAACUUGCUUUUCUGCAGUUCGCGAACCCCAUUUUUGGCUGAUUUCAAUCUUGGGGGAACGGAAGAUCACUGGCGUUCAGGAGUUGGUAGCUGUUUCUGAAAUCUGAACUUUUCUGUUGCAUUCUGUAUUUUUCUCGUUGUGGGAACUGUGGUCUAACUUCUGUGCAGUUCGAGUGAGGACUCUGGCAUGCGGAGAAAAGGGGUGUUUCAGGGAAUGGCUGGGGUGAUUGGUGGUUCUACAGCAGUUAUGGUUGUUUUUUUUUGUUCUGGAAGCAGGAUAAUUUGUUUUAAUUCUUGUCUCUUGCCGCGCAUCUAUAUUAUUUGAUAUCUGCAGUCUGGUGAAGAUAUUUUCCAUGUGCAAAUGUAGUGGUUUCUGUAGUAUGCCAUGGUUCAAGUGCAUCCCUCAUCUUCUCUAGCAAAAGAAGUAAAAGCAGGACGAUGUUUUUUGAGGUCUGCAUUUUCUGCUCCGUGUCUUUCAAAGCUGUUUCAUUUUCGUGGAUUUGUUUAUAAAAUCUGUUUUAAUGGCCCUUGUAAGUAGCUCUUUUGUUUGUUUAUUCUCAACUUCUGACCCACUACAGAAUGGUUGGUGCUAUUGGGUGGUUGUUACAAGUUAAGUUCUAUGUCUUUGAAGUAGCAUUCUUGUGCAGUUCUCUCU